GACGUAGGAGGCGAGCGUUAUCCGGAUUCACUGGGCGUAAAGCGCAUGUAGGCGGAUGUCUAAGUCGUGUGUUAAAGCCCCUGGCUCAACUGGGGGAGGUCAUGCGAGACUGGAUGACUUGAGGGCAACAGAGGCACGUGGAACUCCCGGUGUAGUGGUGAAAUGCGUAGAUAUCGGGAGGAACACCAGUGGCGAAGGCGACUUCCUGGCCUGUUCUUGACGCUGAGGCGCGAAAGCUAGGGGAGCAAACGGG
rnacentral:rRNA from 1 species